CAAUUACCUGACUACCUUGGAGCAGACUCUUCAGCCAUCUAUCCUGAAAUGCUCAAAUGACUGACGCCUCAUCUCUAUCAACACCAUUGAAGCUCUCUGCUGAGUGUGCAUAUCACCACAAGUUCAUGCACGUAUUUGGGCAAGAAACAAGGACCUUAGUCAAGACAGGCCACUGAAAACAGUUUACAAAAUGGGGCCAUUUCCACAGUUGCAUUCGAGAUACAGAAAAACCAUAGAGAAUGUGGAUGUGAAGGAUGACCUCAUGCCACAGAUGCACAGAUAAAAUUCAGCCUGGGAAGACAAAGAGAAAAAGAGGAUUGGAUACACCAUGCACAAAACCAUC
rnacentral:lncRNA from 1 species